rnacentral:rRNA from 1 species
AAUAGAUACCCAGGUAGUCCACGCCGUAAACGAUGAGUGCUAAGUGGUUGGGGGGUUUCCGCCCCUCAGUGCUGCAGCUAACGCAUUAAGCACUCCGCCUGGGGAGUACGGUCGCAAGACUGAAACUCAAAGGAAUUGACGGGGGCCCGCACAAGCGGUGGAGCAUGUGGUUUAAUUCGAAGCAACGCGAAGAACCUUACCAGGUCUUGACAUCCCGGUGACCACUAUGGAGACAUAGUUUCCCCUUCGGGGGCAACGGUGACAGGUGGUGCAUGGUUGUCGUCAGCUCGUGUCGUGAGAUGUUGGGUUAAGUCCCGCAACGAGCGCAACCCUUAUUCUUAGUUGCCAUCAUUCAGUUGGGCACUCUAAGGAGACUGCCGGUGAUAAACCGGAGGAAGGUGGGGAUGACGUCAAAUCAUCAUGCCCCUUAUGACCUGGGCUACACACGUGCUACAAUGGACGGUACAAACGGUUGCCAACCCGCGAGGGGGAGCUAAUCCGAUAAAACCGUUCUCAGUUCGGAUUGUAGGCUGCAACUCGCCUAC